GCCUGAUGUAGGAUGCUACACAAGGGCAGCCAGAAUCUGUGCUGAGUGAGCUAUCCACUUAUGAGAUGCUAGAUCCAAGUAAGAAAUAGAUAUGAGAAUAUCAUUAGAUGGUAAUAGAAAGUGCAAACACAACAGGGAGAUGAGAUACAGCAGCAGGUAAUCUUUAUUUGGAUGUCUCUUAUUGGUUCAUCUUGUUUCAUGUAAGAUGAAAUAUCAGAGCAGAAAAUUGACUUGGCUUAGGUUAGGUAAUUUUUAAAGAGAUGUGGGCAGCUACCAAAGUAAAAGCAGAUCAGCUACUGACUUAGGUCAGAAGAUGAGAUAAGAAAAAGGCAUACAGAGUCUGUGCACAGAUAUUAGGUGAGUAACAAUAUAAGAUUGGCACCUGAAAGGGUUGCCAAGGACACAAAGCAACGGAAUCUAGAAAAUGCGUGGGGUGGGUUGUAUUAAUCAGGGUUCUCUACAGCCAAUAGGAUACACACACACAGUAUGUAUCAGCGAUUUUCUACUGGUGUGCCAUGAGAGGAUCUUAGGGCUGCUGCAAAAAUUUUUAAAGACUAAGUAAGUAAUUUUUGAAACAAGUUCAAAGCACAGUAAGUAUGUUCUUUUUUCACUCCUUUUUUUUUUUUUUUUUUUUUUUUGAGACAGAGUCUCACAUCACAGCUCACAGCGACCUUGAACUCUUGGGCUUAAGCAAUUCUCUUGCCUCAGCCUCUAGAGUAGUUGGGACUACAGGUGCCUGCCACAAUGCCUGGCUAUUUGUUAUUGUUGUUGCAGUUGUUUAGCUGGCCUGGGCUGGGUUUGAACCUGGCACCUUCAGUGUAUGUGGCUGGUGCCUUAACCACUGUGCUACGGGUGCUGAGCCUUUUCCUCCUUUUUUUGAUCAACAUCAUUUAAGUGUGCUGUGGAAGUUUAACUAACUAUAGGUUCAAAUGUGCCAUGAGAUAAAAAGGUUUAAAAACACUGGUAUAUAUGUGUAAACAUAAAAUAUUUAUUGUAAGAAAUAGGCUCACACAAUUAUGUUCUAUCAGGUCUAUAAGUUGAGUCCUGAGGUUGGACAACCAGGAGAGCCUGAUGGUGCAGCUCCAGCUCUGACCCUCGUGCCCUCCUCUUAUAAGGACCCUUGUGAUGACAUUGUGUUAGGGCUGUCUGGAUGUUCCCUGGUCCCCUGGUUCCCAGUUUUAAGUAUGGACGCUGGCGCCAAAUUGAGCAGAUGAACCAUCACAGGCGAAUCCAUUGAGGUAGCUGGUGCCAGGAAGUGUCUCCCGGAGAGGCCCUGAGAGGAGGCACCCGUGGUGGAGAUGGCUCUGGGUGGAGGAGAUGGUGCCUGACCACAUCCUCCUCAUCAUCCUGCAUGUGUGCCCCAAAUUCCCCACUGCAGUCCCUGCUCUACAUCCAUGCCACAGAAUCAGCCACAGACCUGCAAUAGCCCAAGCCCUGUUCACACCUCUCAAGAAAAUGCCCAAGAAUCUGGAUUCCACGAGGGACAGGCUUCCAGAUGUCACAGUGAGAGU